rnacentral:tRNA from 1 species
UAGCAAUUGCACGUUUCGAUCGUGCGACCUCCGGGUUAUGAGCCCGGCGCGCUUCCACUGCGCCAAAUUGCU